rnacentral:rRNA from 1 species
UACGUAGGGUGCGAGCGUUGUCCGGAAUUAUUGGGCGUAAAGAGCUCGUAGGCGGUUUGUCGCGUCUGCUGUGAAAUCCCGAGGCUCAACCUCGGGCCUGCAGUGGGUACGGGCAGACUAGAGUGCGGUAGGGGAGAUUGGAAUUCCUGGUGUAGCGGUGGAAUGCGCAGAUAUCAGGAGGAACACCAAUGGCGAAGGCAGAUCUCUGGGCCGUGACUGACGCUGAGGAGCGAAAGCAUGGGGAGCGAACAGG